rnacentral:rRNA from 1 species
UAACUGACACUGAAGCACGAAAGCGGGGGGAUCAAACAGGAUUAGAUACCCUGGUAGUCCACGCAGUAAACGAUGAUUACUAGGAGUUUGCGAUACAAUGUAAGCUCUACAGCGAAAGCGUUAAGUAAUCCACCUGGGGAGUACGCCGGCAACGGUGAAACUCAAAGGAAUUGACGGGGGCCCGCACAAGCGGAGGAACAUGUGGUUUAAUUCGAUGAUACGCGAGGAACCUUACCCGGGUUUGAACGUAGUCUGACCGGAGUGGAAACACUCCUUCUAGCAAUAGCAGAUUACGAGGUGCUGCAUGGUUGUCGUCAGCUCGUGCCGUGAGGUGUCGGCUUAAGUGCCAUAACGAGCGCAACCCUUAUCACUAGUUACUAGCAGGUGAAGCUGAGGACUUUGGUGAGACUGCCAGCGUAAGCUGUGAGGAAGGUGGGGAUGACGUCAAAUCAGCACGGUCUCUACAUCCGGGGCGACACACGUGUUACAAUGGCAUGGACAAAGGGCAGAUACCUGGCGACAGGAUGCUAAUCUCCAAACCAUGUCUCAGUUUGGAUCGGACUUUGCAACUCGACUCCGUGAAGCUGGAUUCUCUAGUAAUCGAGCAUCAUCCAUGGCGCGGUGAACUAGCGUUCCCUGGGCCUUGUACACACCGCCCGUCAAGCCAUGGGAGCAGGGGGUACCUGAAGUCUGUAACCG